rnacentral:rRNA from 1 species
UACGGAGGGUGCAAGCGUUGUUCGGAAUCAUUGGGCGUAAAGCGCACGUAGGCGGGUUUGUAAGUCGAUUGUGAAAGCCCCGGGCUCAACCUGGGAAUUGCAGUCGAAACUGCAAGUCUUGAAUGCUCGAGAGGAUGGUGGAAUUCCUGGUGUAGAAGUGAAAUUCGUAGAUAUCAGGAGGAACACCGGAGGCGAAAGCGGCCAUCUGGCGAGACAUUGACGCUGAGGUGCGAAAGCGCGGGGAGCAAACAGG